rnacentral:rRNA from 1 species
UACGAAGGGGGCUAGCGUUGCUCGGAAUCACUGGGCGUAAAGCGCACGUAGGCGGCCAACUAAGUCGGACGUGAAAUCCCUCAGCUUAACUGGGGAACUGCGUCCGAUACUGGAUGGCUUGGAUUUGGGAGAGGGAUGCGGAAUUCCAGGUGUAGCGGUGAAAUGCGUAGAUAUCUGGAGGAACACCGGUGGCGAAGGCGGCAUCCUGGACCAAUAUUGACGCUGAGGAGCGAAAGCCAGGGGAGCAAACGGG